UACGUAGGGUGCGAGCGUUGUUCGGAUUUACUGGGCGUAAAGGGCGCGUAGGCGGCCACUGCAAGUCGGUUGUGAAAUCUCCGGGCUUAACCCGGAAAGGUCAAUCGAUACUGCAGGGCUAGAGUGCAGAAGGGGCAACUGGAAUUCUCGGUGUAGCGGUGAAAUGCGUAGAUAUCAGGAGGAACACCUGCGGUGUAGACAGCAUGCUGGACCAUUUCUGACGCUGAGGCACGAAAGCGUGGGUAGCAAACGGG
rnacentral:rRNA from 1 species